UGGUAGAUGCACCCUGAUUUGGCACCCCAACUCAGCAAUGGGUUGGGGUUUUCUCA
rnacentral:sRNA from 1 species